UACAGGGGGUGCAAACGUUGCUCGGAAUUAUUGGGCGUAAAGCGCACGUAGGCGGUUUGUUAUGUCGGAUGUGAAAGCCCUUGGCUUAACUGAGGAAGUGCAUCCGAAACUGGCAGCUAGAGUACUAAAGAGGGUCGCGGAAUUCCCGGUGUAGAGGUGAAAUUCGUAGAUAUCGGGAGGAACACCGGUGGCGAAGGCGGCGACCUGGGUAGAUACUGACGCUGAGGUGCGAAAGCGUGGGGAGCAAAGCAGG
rnacentral:rRNA from 1 species